UGACGGUACCUCUGAGGAAGCACCGGCUAACUCCGUGCCAGCAGCCGCGGUAAUACAGAGGGUGCGAGCGUUAAUCGGAAUCACUGGGCGUAAAGCGUGCGUAGGCGGCGCUUCAAGUCAGACGUGAAAGCCCUCGGCUCAACCGAGGAAUUGCGUUUGAAACUGGAGUGCUAGAGUCUCGGAGAGGUUGGCGGAAUUCCUGGUGUAGGAGUGAAAUCCGUAAAUAUCUGGAGGAACACCGGUGGCGAAGGCGGCCAACUGGACGAGUACUGACGCUGAGGUACGAAAGCGUGGGGAGCAAACAGGAUUAGAUACCCUGGUAGUCCACGCUGUAAACGAUGGAUAUUAGGUGUCGGGUUUUAAAUUCGGUGCCGCAGUUAACGCGUUAAAUAUCCCGCCUGGGGAGUACGGUCGCAAGGCUGAAACUCA
rnacentral:rRNA from 1 species